AGAGUUUGAUCCUGGCUCAGAACGAACGCUGGCGGCAGGCCUAACACAUGCAAGUCGAGCGCACCUUCGGGUGAGCGGCGGACGGGUUAGUAACGCGUGGGAAUAUACCCAGUUCUAAGGAAUAGCCUCUGGAAACGGAGAGUAAUACCUUAUACGCCCUUCGGGGGAAAGAUUUAUCGGAAUUGGAUUAGCCCGCGUUAGAUUAGUUAGUUGGUGGGGUAACGGCCUACCAAGACUACGAUCUAUAGCUGGUUUGAGAGGAUGAUCAGCAACACUGGGACUGAGACACGGCCCAGACUCCUACGGGAGGCAGCAGUGGGGAAUCUUGGACAAUGGGCGCAAGCCUGAUCCAGCCAUGCCGCGUGAGUGAAGAAGGCCCUAGGGUCGUAAAACUCUUUCAACUGUGAAGAUAAUGACGGUAGCAGUAGAAGAAACCCCGGCUAACUCCGUGCCAGCAGCCGCGGUAAUACGGAGGGGGUUAGCGUUGUUCGGAAUUACUGGGCGUAAAGCGUACGUAGGCGGAUUAGAAAGUUAGGGGUGAAAUCCCGAGGCUCAACCUCGGAACUGCCUCUAAAACUCCUAGUCUAGAGAUCGAGAGAGGUGAGUGGAAUUCCAAGUGUAGAGGUGAAAUUCGUAGAUAUUUGGAGGAACACCAGUGGCGAAGGCGGCUCACUGGCUCGAUACUGACGCUGAGGUACGAAAGUGUGGGGAGCAAACAGGAUUAGAUACCCUGGUAG
rnacentral:rRNA from 1 species